GUCGAACGAGAUUAAGGGGCUUGCUCCUUAUGAAAGUGGCGCACGGGUGCGUAACGCGUAUGCAACCUACCUCAAUCAGGGGGAUAGCCCGAAGAAAUUCGGAUUAACACCGCAUAAAAACACAGGAUAGCAUUAUCUAAUGUUCAAAUAUUUAUAGGAUUGAGAUGGGCAUGCGUGUCAUUAGCUAGUUGGCGGGGUAACGGCCCACCAAGGCGACGAUGACUAGGGGAUCUGAGAGGAUGACCCCCCACACUGGUACUGAGACACGGACCAGACUCCUACGGGAGGCAGCAGUAAGGAAUAUUGGUCAAUGGAGGCAACUCUGAACCAGCCAUGCCGCGUGCAGGAAGACAGCCCUCUGGGUCGUAAACUGCUUUUAUUCGGGAAUAAACCUAAUUACGUGUAAAUAGCUGAAUGUACCGAAGGAAUAAGGAUCGGCUAACUCCGUGCCAGCAGCCGCGGUAAUACGGAGGAUCCAAGCGUUAUCCGGAUUUAUUGGGUUUAAAGGGUGCGUAGGCGGCUUAUUAAGUCAGGGGUGAAAGACGGUGGCUCAACCAUCGCAGUGCCUUUGAUACUGAUGAGCUUGAAUGAACUAGAGGUAGGCGGAAUGUGACAAGUAGCGGUGAAAUGCAUAGAUAUGUCACAGAACACCGAUUGCGAAGGCAGCUUACUAUGGUUUUAUUGACGCUGAGGCACGAAAGCGUGGGGAUCAAACAGGAUUAGAUACCCUGGUAGUCCACGCCCUAAAC
rnacentral:rRNA from 1 species